UAAAAGUUUUAUGAUGUCACGCGAUAAGCCGAUAAGUUAACGCAGGCCUCUUUGCCUCCGUUUGGUUGGGAGUUAAGGGGUGGAAUAAUCUCUUAACCCCCAACCCAUCUCAAAUGGGUUAUUCCGGAUUAGCUAACCCCACCUAACUCCACCAAAUCCCAACCAAAUAUUAUUUUCUAUUCAUAAUAACCCACUAUUCUUCUUAUGCCACCUACUCCAACCAAACACUAUUUUUCACUAUUCUGGACUAACUCCAAUCCCCAACCAAACACAAAAAUACUCUAACCCACCUUAACCCUAAACUUAACCCUAUUCCUAGAAUAACUAGUUUUUCCUUAACCCCGAAUCAAACGGUAGCUUUGGGUUUUGCCUUUUGUUUUGUUUUUUUUUUUUUUUUUUUUUUUUUUUUUGAGAGAUAGGUAGUACGCUAUCCGCUUCUUUUAUUUCAUUUAAAAAUAAACUUAGCUAGAAAUGUGAAUCAACUAGGAUUCGAACUUAGGUCUCGGAUACUAACCACCAAGCCUUUUGUCACUUGCUUUAGGGACGGUUGGUGGUUUUUGCUUUUUGUUUCUUUUGUUUUUUUGAGUAGAGCUCUAAAUGAUAUGCAAUUGAAUGGGUUGAUUGUGUACAAAUAUAUAUAAGGACCAAAAUUAAUAUUCCAUUUUUCCACCAACCGUCCCUAUCCUAAGUGGCAAAGGGUUUGAUGGUUGGUACCUGAGGUCCUAAGUUCGAAUUCUUGUUGAUUCACAUUUCCAGCUAAGUUUAUUUCUAAAUAAAAUAAACGAAACGAGUAGCGUGCUACCUAUCUCUCGAAAAAAAAAAUUCCAUUUUUCCUAACUUUAUGAAAAGGUUACUAAUAUAUUUUCAAGCAGGCAUAUAUACUCACAUCAGUGGUAAGACACUAGGAUGAAAAUGGAGCAGAGCCGGAUUACUGGAUAAUGAUGUAAUAAAGGGCUAAGCUUAUGAUUCUUAUUGGAAAUAAAAAAAAAGAAGAGGAAAAUAAGUCCUACGUGGGCUUGCAUCGUAAUUUGCCUGGCCCCUUCUUGGGCCAACGAAAGGGUCCAUUCUUUCCCACUAUAGGGUUCUUUAGCUUGUUCUAUUGUUAGUUCCUCGCUCUCCUCUUCAAAAUCGACUCUAACAAUUGACCGUCAAAUAGCCUUUGGACCGUCAAUUGACCGUCAAAAUGGUCACAUGGGUAUUUUGAUCCCCCUUGGACCAAAAUACUCUCCCAACAGUCAAAUAUUUGAUUGUUGGGAGGGUAUUUUGUUCCAAAAAAUAUUUAAAUAAUUUUAAUAUUUUAAUAUUUUUAUAAAUAUAUUUUAAAAUUUAAUUUUUACUCAUAUAUUAUUUUUUAAAAAAUAACAUUUUAAUUUUUAUUUUCUAAAAGUUUUAAAUUUUUUAAAAUAAAUUUAAUAAAUAAGAAAGGGCGGCGCGAAGCCUGGCCCGGCCCAGCCCAGCCCAGCCCAGCCCAGCCCGGGGGGCAUGCUAGGAUGGGGGUCCAAAAACUUUGGCCCGGCACGGCACGGCCCAACUUGAGGCCGGGCCGUGCUGGGUUGAACUCGGCUUUCAGCCCGACUAAAUGUGAGCAGUGCCGGCCCGGCACGGCCCACAUUACACUCCUAGUUACACACCGCAGCUUCGCAGUAGAAGCCCCCACUCACGGGUGGCACCAUAGUGUGGUGCGAUUUGGUGCGAGCCCAAUCCCUAGGAGUUGGGCCAAACAGGCCCUUACAUUUCUAGGCCUGUUCUGCUCUUCGUUUUCUUUGGAUGAUGGAUGAUAUGAGAUAGGGCCUGUUUUGGGCCGGUCUAGUAUAGUCGGCAUUCAACUUUUUUAACCCAUGGGUUGAUACCGGCCCAGCCAACUACAAUUAUUUUAUUCUGAUAAAUUAAAACAACUCAGGCCCAGUUGAGGGCUCGUUUCAGAUUUGGUCCUAUGUGUGUGUGUGUGUGUGUUUUCUUUUUUUUUUAAGUUUAAAGCAUCAAAUGUAAUCUAUAUAUAAGAGAGACAUAAUUCGUUUUUUUCAUAAAUAAAAUUAAAUUUUGUUGAAAAAUAUAUUAUGAUCUUUUUAAGUUGAAAAUUCCUUAUUUGUGCUGCUGCGUUUGUACCUGGAACCGGUAAAACUUGGGAUCCCAACCCACGUGCGUAGCACGUGCCAUAAGCCCCAGACUCGGUAAACCGUAACCGCCAAUCCCAGAUUAAGUUUGGGCCGAGCCCAACCCAACAUCUACGAGGCCCACGAUCCACAAUAUCGGCCCACCUCUAUAUAUACGCGCACAUCACGAAGACGAAAGCAAAACCGAGUUGGAAACAUCUCGGUCGCCCUUCUUAUCUCCUCCGCACUUCCCAUGCCAAACCCAAACCCUAACUUCGUCGAAUCGAGCCGCUCCCUUACUCUCUCCUCUCCUCUCCUCUCCUCUCCAUCUCCAUCUCCUAUCGCGGGCUCUCCUCUCCAUCUCCAUCUCCUAUCGCGGAUCCGUAUAAGGUAAUCUCUCCAUCUUCUUCGUUUCUUCUCUAUCUUCGUGGUUUUUUUUUUUUUUUUUUUUUUUUUUUUUUUUUUUUUUUUUUUUUUUUUGGACUGGGAGGAUGCGUAACCCUAAUUUGUUUAACGAGGGUUUGGAUAAUAUUUGGAUUGAUUUAUUAGGUUUUUGUGCACGAUCGAUUGAGGGAAGAGAGAUUGGUGAGGCUUGGACUAGUGGUAGAGCUGGUCUCGAUCGGUUUAGGGAUUUAGGGUUUUCGAUAGGCUAUUGAACGAGGUUGUGGAUCUAAUUGUAUUUGGAUUCUAGGGUUAUUUGUUGCAUUCGAGGAACGUUUGGAAGAGAAAUGAAACUAAAUUUGCGAGGGAUGAGUCUGUGAAGGAAUUAAUGUUUGAUUUUGGUCACACUAUUUUCUUCUUUGCGGUUGUGGAGCUUGAGGUGUAUACUUCUUCUAGGUUUUCUAAUUAGUAUUGAAAUUGAUGAGUACAGGGGUUUCAAGAUGGUGGAUCAAGAUAGUGCUACUGAGGUGUUGGGCUAUAACCGAACCCUACACGGCUCAGCUUUGGCUCGGUGGAUGUUGUUCAAUGAACAGGCUUUGCUUGACUCCGAAGCCGUGUUGCAUGAGCCCAGUCUUGGCUUAUGGGACAUUUUUCUGUUCUAAAUUUAUUAUAUUUUCUUAACUUCUAUCACUUAUCUGCAUAUCCGUCCGCAUGAUAACACAUCAAUCUGAGAACCAGUGCUUUUGCUAAAGCUUGUUUCACAGUUUGAUGAAGUCGAUCAGAGUUUUUAAUUAGCUAAUACCAAGUACAAAUAAGCGUUAUAACAAAAAUAACCAUCCUCUGACCCCCCUGAUUGGAUGAUGCAGUUUGUGAUUUGUGAAAAGUCUCAUUAGUCGAGGAAUUAUUGGUUGUUUGGCGUGUAAUUUUGUUUCCGUAUUGAUUUCUUCUUCUUCUUCUUCUUUUAUUUUAAGCUGUACUUAGGCACAUUGUUUAAGUCCAUAUUGCAAUUUCUUAUUGCAAAAGUCUUUCAAUAACUAAAUCAAGUUGUACAUUUUUAUCGACAUUUGGAGAGCAUAAGCAAAUGGGUUUUCUUUCUCGAAAUGUAGAGAGGGAGAAGUUAGGGACUGAAAAUUUAACAAGUUACUAUUAGUGAAAAUCCUUCCCUUGACCUCAAAGGAGAAGAUUCCUCGUUCGUCUUUGGUGCCUUCUCUUUGGUGCCUGUCUGUGGUUCUAGUAAAAUUUGCCAAAUAAUUGAUCGGAGGAGCCAUGUGCCUGAUGGCUCUACUUGCUAGCUGAUUUUCAUUGUAUGCUGCUUCAUGAACACUUACUUGCGUUUGAAUUGUUGCUAUUUCCAUGUAUAGUUGGUUAUUGCUUGUUUAGUCCAAAUGCACAUACAGUUGGUUAUGUGCACUUCUGUCUCUAUUGUUUAAAGAUUUCUACUGAAUUAAGUUACAUGUGACUGGAAAUUUUCAACUAUCCAUACCUCAUGUUGGCAUGUGUUAUAAUUACAUGCAAGUAUAGUGAUGAGGGAAAUUUUUAGAAUUAUGUAUCGUUUAUCAAUGCGAUAACCAUAUGAACUAAAUGUGUAUUAAUUUCAAUAUAGAAAUCUGAUAAUGUACAAUUUACUGACUUUGUUUGCAUGAUCUUUGUAACCUUGUACAGGUUUUGUGGAGCGUUUAACUGAUCUAUGGAGCUGACAAAGCAGGGGCAAACUACCAUGCCAGCUAAUCUCCGAUCGCAACAAUUACCCUCAUCAGAUAAUCAAUCUGCACAGGUUGAAUUGCUGCCCAUAUUUCAUACCACCUUGCCUGUUGAUUGGGGGUCACAGCAACUGUCGUCAGCGAACAAAUACCUUGUUCAAAGUAUGGGGGAAGCAUCCAUGCCCAUUGAUGUGAGACCAUGUAACAUAAUGCCUCCAAACAAACAAUCAUUUCAGCCAGGAACUUCUCAUCCCUCUCCGUUUCCUCCUCUUUUGGGCUUACAUCAGUUACAUUCUUCAAACAUAGUGCCAUUAGGCUCUGGACGGUUGCUUAAUAUGCAAACCUCUAUGUCGCUACCCUCACCAUCGACAAACAAAAGGCCCAAUCAGAUGGAAACAUCAGGCAAGUUGCAAGCAGUGAAAGGGGGGUUGACCAAAUCCUCAAACAAACGCCCUGCACAGGUGGAACUACUGACAUCAAAGGCCAAAUCAGAGACAUUUGAGUCGGUGAGGUCGAAACUGCGGGAAUCCUUAGCUACCGCUUUGGCUAUAGCUUCUGAACAGCCAGGUGAGCAGCAAUCUGCAGAAAAGAAAUGUAAUAAUGAUGAAGACAUAGCCAGUGAUGUAGGCUCGAAGGAGAAGAUAAAUGAAGAUGCAAACUUGUCUGGUGAUAAGGUACAAGGUGUUCAAUCAAUACUUGUUUCCUCCUAUAAUGAAGUACCAAGUGACAGUAUGACUGUUGCUGAUGAGCUACUGCAAGGUCACGGGCUUCAAUGGGUUUCUGAUCUUGAUGCUGGGCCUACCGAAGCUGUACUAGAACAUGGUUCAAAAAGACUGAAGACUACAGCCCAGGAAGAUACUAACGAUGUCAAAGAAAUCGCUCGGAAGUCUGAAAGUUUGGCGUUUAGAAUUGAAGCGGAGCUCUUCAGACUAUUUGGUGGAGUCAAUAAGAAAUAUAAGGAGAAGGGUAGGUCUCUCUUGUUCAAUCUGAAAGAUCGGAAUAACCCAGAGUUAAGGGAACGGGUUUUAUCUGGCGACAUUGCACCAGAACGUCUCUGUGCUAUGUCUGCUGAGGAACUUGCUUCAAAGGAACUUUCACAGUGGCGGUUGGCUAAGGCCGAAGAGAUGGCACAGAUGGUUGUGCUGCCCGAUUCAGAGGUUGAUGUCAGGCGAUUGGUAAAGAAGACACAUAAAGGAGAAUUUCAAGUUGAAGUAGACCAAUCUGAUGCUGUCUCUGUGGAAGUUGAACUUGGGGCAGGUCUUCUCUCUCGGAUUCCGUCAAAAGGUAAAGAAGAAGUUCGAAAGAAGUCCAAAUCUAAUGAAUUAAAGGAACCUGAAGGAAAGCUGCAAGUUAAGAAGGCUGACUCAGCUGGCAACCCUAACUUGUCAAGCAAUUUGGAAACACUUUUGGAGGAGAAAAGUGAUCUCAUGCAGGAACUGAUGGUUGAUGAUUUCAAAGAUUCAGAUAAUCUUCCUCCUAUAGUUUCUUAUGAUGAGUUCAUGGAGGCCCUUGAUUCUGAACCACCAUUUGAGAAUUUGUCAGUGGAUACUUCACAAGGCAACCAAAGUUCUGGUCGGAAAAACUUAAUUAGCUCAGAUUCAGAGAGAGUUCCUGAAUCAGGUUACCCUACAUCUGAUCCGGUUACUGUAUCAGAUGGCGUUGCAGCCAAGUUAGACUCCACGAAAGAUGGUUCUCCUCUCAAAGUAGAUUCAAAGGAUAGUAAAGUGGAUGUGAAAAAUGCAGAGACUGACAAUGGCGCGAAAUCUACUUCUGAUAAUUUACAACCAGACACCUCUUCUAGUGUUGCAUUGACGAGUGAGAUUUUAUGGGAGGGUGCAAUGCAACUGACGGUUUCUUCACUUGCAAAUGUCAUUGGUCUCUUCAGAAGGUUCGGUGGUUUUUUCUUGUAAAUUUUUGCUAUUCUUUUUCUAAUAACAAUGCUCUGCAUGUCAUUUAAAUGCCUUGUAUAUUUUCAUUCUGACUUUCUGAUUUCACUGAUUUCUUUUUUUUUCCUCCGCUCAGACUGCAGAGGUUCGGUUGUUCUACUAUCAUGAAAAAAGAUUACAUUAGUAUAUCUUCAAUAACUUAAACUUUAGGCUUGUGGUACAUUAAUGAGCCUGCAAGCUCUUUGACAAUGGAGAAUUAAUAGUUGUUUAUUUAAUUUGAUACGAUUCUAUUCUUAAAUGUGAUGAAUGCAAGCAGAACUAAUUCGUAGCCUUGUCCUUGCAGUGGUGAGAAGCUUCAGACAAAAGAAUGGCCCAGCUUUCUUGAGAUCAAAGGAAGAGUAAGAUUUGAUGCUUUUGAGAAGUUCCUCCAACAGCUUCCUCUAUCUCGGAGCCGUGCAAUCAUGGUACUUUCGAUCUAUAUGAUCUAUUGCUCUUCCCAUUCUCCUAGUCAGUGUAGUGUGGACAAAUUUUCUUUAUACCUUUUUAGUUCAUCUCAGUAUAUGUUUAAGUGCUAUCAUGCCCGCAAUUUGAAAGCCAUAAAGAACAAUUAGCUUAUGUGUUCACUUCUUCGAAUUUCUUUUCUUCUAGUUAUGUUAUAAUAUAUUUCAAAGUCACAUACAGAAUGCAACUAUUUUACUACUGCAACCACCAUCACUAGGUUUCAACAGGUCAUAACUAAAUGAAAUCAUCUUCUUGGAUUAGAGAGUAGGUCCAACUUCAAGGUCUCGUAUUAUUGUUAUAUGUUUUCUGCGUAGGAAAGGGUAUUUGAAAGGGCUUCUUAGUGCAUGAAGCACAUCCCAUUGUGUCCCAAUGUGUUGUCAUGGUUUAAUGGGUCCAACAUUCAUGCAAAGUAGCACCACCAUAGGAAGUGGGUAUUUAAGAGUACCAAGUUUGUUGAAAUCGCUGAGGGGGAAAAGAAAAUGCAUACUAAUGCAUUAGUUUCCCUUUCAAACACAUACCUGUGGAAACUGGAAAGUGGUAUUCAUUUUGUUCCCUCAGGCCCUGCCUGCUGUAACCUGUUUUAUUCGUUGUUUAAUUCUUGAUUUCUCCUAAGUUUGUGUGAAUUUAGGUGUUACUUCUGGUCCCGAUUUGUACGAAGGCUAAUAAUAAUAGUCAAACCUUCAUGGUAUUGAGAUUCUGAGAUUUUAUUAAGUAGGCUUUAAUUGGUUAGACCCUUGAUUUUAAUUGGUUAGACCCUUGAUUGGGAAAACCUUAAUUGAGUGGAAAUGGAUAAGAGCAUAGUUUGUAUGGAAGUAUGAUGACUAUAUUUAGAAUAUGUAUCUUGGAUUGGAAGUUCUAGUUGCAAGGUUGCAAUUUUAUAACUGUUUAUUGGCCUCGUAAAACUACAGAGUUUCUGCGGCUACAUGCAUUUUAUUGGUUAUUGCUGACUUGAUGGUGUUUUUUAAAUCUCAUUUUACUGAACCUAUUUGGAGUAUUAAAAAAAAAAACCUUGAUUCCACUGACUUAUGCAUGAUUCUUGUUUAUGAGGCGAGGAAGGCUGCCAAUUGUAGUUGUACACUGAUAACUAAUGGAGUUCUUGUCUUGGUUAUUUGAAUAAAAUCUAAACUAAGAAUACAAAAUAUCUAUAUCUGAAUAACUUAACAACUUUAGAGACACAGAUCCUUCCUUUAUCUUUUGUUAACAGUAUGUUUAUAUAUAUUAACUAAUCUGCAAUGGCUUAGCAUUUUCUCGUCAGAACUAUAACUUUACUGUCCAAUUUUUUAUCUGGGAUUAAAGCGUAGACACCGACUAUCUGUAAUUUUCUCUCCAUCUGUAUCAGGAUUGUGGUAUCAAUAUUCUUCUUCAGUGUAAUGUUUAACGGUGAAACUUUGUCUGUCUAGGCAAACUUGGAAAAUAUACUUAAAGAAAUAUCUGGGCAAUUUCUACUGGGGGAUGUAAUUGUAAACUAAUUGUGUAUAAAGAUUUCCAUACCUAAGCUGGUUGAUUUUGUGACGAGGACUGAUGCACGGCACGAAUCUAUGCCACAAUUUAUGUUAUGUAUAUCUGAAACUUGCAAUAGUAUAAUUAUUUAAUGAAGGUGAGCUUUUAACCGAUAAAUUACAAACUUGUACCUCAGCUUAUUGAUCAUCUUUAGAACCUCAGGAUCUAGAUAUAAGAUUUGAAAGGUGGAUAUUCGAGAAGUAUAUUUCUCAUUUCUGUUGGAGUGCCCUGGAGUCAUGGGUCCGCAUUGUUCUGUUAAACUUGAAGCUAUAGCACUCGUCCUACUUACAAACAUGAGUAAAAGCUAUGCAAUACAUUGUAUUAGGUUUCUUGUCACUAGACUUCAAGUUAAAAAAGUGCUCUUUCCCACUUGCAAAUAUGACCAACGCCUAGGUUGGUAAUGUAUUUAGACUAUAGAAUGCCCAAAACAAUUAAAAAACACUUAUAAUCUUUUCUUCUCUUAUCUUUAAAUUUACAGUGGCAACCACCACUAGAGAAGCGUACAGUGUUUUAGAUUUUUCUAGCAUUCUAUAAUAUAAAAAUGAUAUUUUUAGCUACCAUAUUGGCAAAUUAGGCGAAACUGCUAAGCAUUAUGGGCAUGUGCUUUCUUGUUGCUCAAACUAAUGGAUAAUUAUUAUGUGUAAAACUAGGUGUUUGAUUUAUAUUGAUCCCCUUUCGAUUUAACUGUUUUUGAGUAAACCAAUAAAUUGGGAAGAUAUAAUCUGACAAGUAGUUACAUUCUUUUUAUUUAUUUUGUUAAAUUUCUUACCUAAAAAAGUCAUCCUUCCUCAUUUUUAUGUCUCGCCACUUCCCUUUUGCAGAUUUCUCAGUUUUGUUGGAAGGAAGGUUCUCCUGAGAGCGGCCGAGUGAACUUGUCUGAGGUUGUAAAUUUUCUUCACGGUAAAGCUCGUUAUCCUAAUUCUCGUUUCCUAAUCCUUUGUCGCCCUAUCUUUUGCAGACAGUCGAGUCUUACAUUGCGGAUGAGAGAGUGGGAUUUGCCGAACCUACCCCCGGAGUGGAGCUAUACUUGUGCCCUCCUCACUCAAGGACUCUGGGAGUACUCGCGACCUUUCUUUCAAAGGAGCACGCCGAGACUCUUCGUUCGGCCGAGAAGAGUCUCAUCGGCGUGGUGGUGUGGAGAAGGCCACAUGUAAAUAUGUCACCUAGGGCGUCCUCCCACCACAAGCAUAGUGGCUCCAGGAAACACUCGAGGAAACAUCUCAUCAAUUCUAGCUCCGCUAGAUCUUCUUUCACGCCUACUCAUCCUGUAUCGCCCACACCCACUAAUAAUAUCCACCCGUCAAAUGACGAUGAAUAUGAUGAUGAUGUGCCUCCGGGCUUCGGCCCUUCAAAUUCGAGGGACGAAGAUGAUCUCCCUGAAUUUGAUUUCACUAACACCGCAAAACCUUCUGUACCGUCAAUCCACUCUCGCGGUCCGGUGGUCCGUCAUCCACCACCAUCGGGUCGCCCGAUGGAGCAAAUGAGGGAGUUGGUGUACAAAUAUGGACACAGUAAGAAGGAUAAAGCGCUAAAUAUAGAAACUGAGCCAUGGAAUGAUGAUGAUGAUAUCCCAGAAUGGGAUCCCCGUCAAGAUAAUCAGCUGCAAAGUCAGGCUGCGCCGCCGCAUGCACCACCACAACCACAACCACAACAAUCACUAAACCCUACCCCAACGCCACCGUCACUACCACCACCGCUGCCGCUCCAGCAGCCUGCAUCACAGUUGCAUUUGUAUCAGCAGCCGCCGUUGCAGCCUUUCCAAGUGAGCCAUAAUGCAGCAGUGCCGCCCAACCAGCAGUUGCCACCUCAGCAGCUCGCACAGACGGCUAUGCCACAUCAACAACCACUUCAGCCUCAAAUGGGCGUGGUUCAACCUAGUUGGAACCCUAAUCAGUGGCCAACUGACGUGGGUAUGCCUGUGAACAAUAAUGGGUCGAUGCAGCCACUUCCCGUAAGUGGGCACUCCUACGGCUUUCAUAACAUGGGUGGGUCAAUUCCGAGUUCCAUCGGGUGGAGACCAGAUCUAACGCCACGUAAUAAUAGGGGUGGUUAGUGCGAUUUUGAUGUUGUAAUCGGUAGUAAACUCUCUCCAUCUUUGUAAUUAAACUGUGUGUAUGAUCCGCGUACUCCUUUUAGGCGGUUAGAUCGAAUGCAGGUUGGAGCACAUGAUAUCCAUCUUCGUUAUGCCUGGUAUUUUCCUCGCCAAAUUUUGGGCUGCUUUAAUUAACCUUGUUAGUAGGACUGAUGAAGAAUAUGUAAUAUGGAUAACUGAAUCUUAAUAAUCUUUGAACGCUUGUGCGGGUUAUUUUGAGAUGGUGUAUUAUGGCUACCGUAUGUUGCAACCUAACCUUGAAAGAUUCGAAGGGAUAUGGCCAAAUCAUCCAGGUAGCUAACGUGGCGAGGCCUGGGGAGAUUUCGGUGGUCAACAUCGACCUCUCCAAGUCGUGGUGUACCUUGCCUUGCAUAUGUGUUACUUACCUUUUUUUUAAAAAAUAAUAAAAAAAAUAUAUUUUUAAAAAAUAAUAAAAAAAAUAUAUUUUUAGGGGGGGAGCUCUCUCUGCUAGUUUUUUUUUUUUUUUUUUUUUUUUUAGAGAUAGGUAGCACGUUAUCUGUUUCGUUUAUUUCAUUUAGAAAUAAACUUAGCUAGAAAUAUAAAUCAAUUAGAAUUCGAAUUUGGGUCUCGGAUAUCAACCACCAAGCCCUUGUGAUAAAAGCAAUAAUGCAAUAAUGCUCUGCUAGCUUUUCUUCACUGCUCUCAGAUGAGAGCUUUUUUCUUUUUGUAAUUUCUGGGAAAGCAAUAAUGCUCUAGGCUGAUGAGUGUUCAAAAUAUAUUGUAACCCAACAACACCCCUGUCCUGAUAAAAGAAUAUGUUAUUUUUAGGACUGCUGUGUCCUCUCCGGAUAACCCAUAAUUAUGUACUUCAUGAAGGAACUAAGUAUAUUUAUAUUCGGCUGCCAUUUUGUUUGUGGUGGUGGUGGUUUACUUAUCUCAAUAAAUCAUAUCUUGUCCUUUUUCUGUCUUCAAUUUUUCUUGUCCAAAAUCCUCAAGCACAGUAAAUGAUUAGAAAAAAAAAAAAAGGAGAAGAAACUUACAAAGCGUGAGACUGAAUCCUCUCAUCGAGCGUGGAAAUAAUAAAACCCUAAAUGAGACCGUCAUUCUCUAAUUAAGUACUAAUUCUUAUAUAAUUUUCAGCAUAGGCUAAACGAAUUUGCUCACUUUCCCUACUAUCAUGAUUUACUGCGUUAUCCAUUUGUAGAACAGUAGUGUUUUUUGUUUUUUUUUGGGCAAAAAAAUCAUACUUUCCCGAAUUUUAUGUUCUACUUGAUUACUAUUGUUAAUUACCCCAUGCUUCUUCUAGAAGUUGCUCUGCGUUGCCAUGCAAUGAACCCAGAGUUUUUUUUUUUCUUCUUUUUUUGGGUUUUUGCGAUAAGAAAUUAGUAAACACACUGAUAAUUAUCAGAGUAGACUUAAAGAAGCAUGGUGUUUUCGUCGUUGAAAUUGGUUAUGAACUGCUACAAAACAAGGAGUUAUUUUUAAUUAGUAUAUUUUCAUAUACGAGAAGGAUCCAUCGGUAAAUAAUCUGUAAGAUAGCUAGACUCCCAACUUGGCACGAGUGCUGGCCGAAUACUUCUACACUCUAUCAACUUAUAACCCAAAAAAGUUAAAAAAAAAAUCCACAAAGCAGAGAUUUUUACAAAUAUAAAGUACAAACUUUUCCGUUGAUAAAUUGAUUGAGAGAGACAGUGGUGGCUUUCCACCCAGUUACACACAAUAGUGAAAUAUAAAAGAAAAGAAUAAAAAAAACAUAACUAAGAAAAAUUAGGACAUGGUAUAAUAUCCAAAGGAAUCUCUAGCUAGCACCCCCCAAAAUAACAAUACAAUUAAUUACCUGGCAAACAACAACCUAGCUAAUUACGUACGCCUCCUUACAGUCAACCAUUUUGCUUUUCUUUAGUCUAAAGAACUCAAUUAGUCGACCCUCCACCUUUUCUCCUAACUAUACCAAACAAGCCCUUCUUUUUCUAAAAGGAAUCACACGUACUAUGCUAGCUAGUACGAUACUUCGAUCAGUCGCCGCCAUUCAUAAUAGCUACAGUUUUUCUUACUACUUAGGAAUCUAAAGGGUUCAAUGAUGACGACCGCUGGCUACUACCUACAUGCAUAUUGAAGUAUAAGAUGAGACAGAUAUAUAUAUAUAUAUAGGUAACGGAUGCGCGGGGCGCAUUUGCACAAUUUCCACAAACGCAACAACACUACGUAUAUUCUUUUCUUAUCAUGUGUAAUGUGUGAUUAAUAUUCUUAAUUAAUUUGUUACUAUUAAUCAAUCCAUGCUUAAAUUGUUAAUCCAAGCUCAUCAUGCUCUGGUGGAACGCGGCCACGCACUCGGGCGUAACGCACUGCGUGAUGAGGCGGGCCCCACCGGGCUUGUGCGCGGAGGGCCUGACGAGGAUACACGUGGCGAUGUAGUCGAGGUUGGUGAGCGGCACCACGUGGACCGGCGGGCCCCAGCCGUAGUCGACCUCGGCGAAGCCCAGGCGGGUCCAAUCCGAGACGAGCAGCGUGUUCCGGUCGGCCGUGAUCCGGUACGGGUCCCCGGCGGCGUCCCCGGCGGCCCACCGCGCGAACUCCGCGGGCAGCCGCUUCUUCCCCUCCUUGACGAGCUUCACGAUCUCCACGAUCGGGGAGCUCGCGAUCCUCUCGCUCGGCGCCGAGACCCUCAUGAUGUAGUAGCAGUUCCCGUAGAAGCCGCAGCUCGCGGGGAUCUUCGGGGCGAGCACGGGGCGCGCGUUCAUGGCGAAGCAGAGGUGGACGGGGGAGCCCCGGUCGAAGCCGAAGCCGAAGCUGAGGGCGCGGGUGCGGCUCUGCCACGCCUUCGCGAUGAGCACGUCGAACGCCGAGCAGCGCUGACCGGUCAGCGCCAGGAACUGGGCCUUGAAGCGGUUGACGUAGUCGGCGGCGAUGUCCAUGGCGAGGUACUCCAGGCGGACGCCCGUCGCCGCGGGGAGGGGCCCGCGGGGCGCGCCGCGGGGGGGCUCCGGGAUCGCCUCGCGGAGCCACGUCGGCUCCACGGUGGGCCCCGCGGCGCCGCGCGCGAUCUCGCCCACCGCGCCCAUGAACUGGGCCGCGCCCGGCCCGUCCGCCACCGCGUGGCUGAACCGGAACCCCACCACGAACCCACCGCAGCUGAAUCGGGUCACCUGCUUUAAUCAAUCAAUCAAUCAAUCAAUCAAUAAACAAGCAAGCAAUUAAGCAAAUAAAUAACAAACAAACGAACUAACUAACUAACUUUUUCCGUAUUUAAUUAGUUGCUUUUCUUUAUUCUUAAUAAUACUAUCUGUCUAUCUAGUAUAAUUAAGUAUACCGGAUAUAUAUAGUACACAUUAUCGAUCAGUGAUAAAUUAAGGAAUGAAAAUCCUGCAGUAAUAUUAUUCUUAAUUUUCAUACCUUAAUUCUUAGAUAUAUAUAUGUUCGCCUUAAUUUUCAGAAAAAAUGCAUUAAUCACAAGCUAAUUAAUAUCGAUCGGCGGCGGCAGGAAUACAAAUAUCCAUCAGCUAGCUAGUCUAUAGACUAUAGUACGUACAUUCAAUAGGUACAUGCAGUAGGAAAUUUAAUUUGUGCUCGAUCUCUUUUCUAAAAAAAAUUGGAUCUGUUAAAGAAGAAAAAAAUAAUAGUACGUAAUAGAAACAGAGGGAAAUCGCGCGGGUCCUUUAAUUAAUCAAAGCAAAUAAAGCAUUAUAAUUAUGAAUAAAAUCUGUACGUACGUAUACGUACCUGGACAAGUAAAAUGAGUUUAUCUUCUUGGGAGGGAUCCAAUUUAGGGACGGGGUGAGGCAAGAGCUCGUCCUUGGGUAUCUUCAAAGGGUACUCCAAGUAGUCCACGUCCUCCAACGUGGCCUCGGCCGUGGCCUCCACGAACCAAACCCCCUCGCCGGUGCAGUCGACCUGCAGCUCCCCCUCCUCCCCCUCCGCCAGCCUGCCCGCCAUCGGAUAGUAGAAAACCAACGUCUUCUCCAGCGCGCGCUUUAUCGUCUUCGCGGGGUCGCCCCCGCCGUUCUUGAACACGUGCAGCGACUCGAUGAGCGCCCGCUGGGUCGGGUAUCGGUCGAGCCAUGAGAGGCGGAGGCGGCCGGAGGGUGUCGGCCCCGCGGGGGCCACCACCUCCUGGGAGACCCUCUUCACAGCGGUGCUCAUUGAAUAAUAUUGGAGGAGUUCUAAUUAAGUAUUAAUUGAGAGGUUUAAUUUGUAUGUGUGAUAAUUUAGAGGGAGCUAACCAGCUUGGGGGUGGUGAGGGUGGGGGAGGGUUUUUAUAGCUAGGGGUUGGUAAUUAGUUUUGUUAAGCCUUUCUUUUCAGAGUUUAAUGGUGGUUAAUUAAGCACUAAUUAAAUAUUGGUUGGUGGAACGGAGAGAGGUUUGUGGCAUGAUGUAUUAUUAAGUCGCGCUUCGCAGAACGUACAAAUUAAUUAAUCACGCGUGUUAUAUAGUUAAGAGACCAAAUUAACCCGCUAUAUACACAUGUAUAAAUAUAUAAUAAUAUUAUAAGCUCCAUUAAUAUAUAGUUGGGUGUUUGCUGAUUGUAGAUCCAUAUCCAACCAUUGGCUCCUCCCACAAGUAAAAUAUCUUAUAUUUUUUUUAAAAAAAAAUGUUUUGGUAUAAUUAAUUACCAAUGUAUUCAUCUGCAACGUACAAUUUUUCUCUAUCUCUCUCUAUAUAUACUGUUUAGAAAAUCCAGUUCUUUUUGUUUUUGCACAAUUAUGAUCAACAUAUAUAGUUUUUUUUUUUUUUGAGAGAGAAUUGUUUGUAAUCCAAAAACCAAAUUUACUUUACCAACUACUCGAGAAAAAAAAUUCCAGUUAUUAUAGUCAUAGAAAUGGAAUGCAAGUGUGCACGUGCGAGCGCGCCAGCACGUGUGCAUGUGUAUGCAUGUAACGCUAUCUCUUCCCUUUUGUAAUUAAGCUAGCUCAACACUGUAUAUUACACCACAUGAAUGUUCCAUUGGAUGGUAAUGAGUGGAAUACAAUAAAAAAGAGGCCAGGUUCGAAUCCAUUAACCUACAUAAAUUUGUUGUUAAGUGUAGAUUAUCAUCUGAAUCCCUCCGUUCCGCUUUAAUUUGGAAUAACAAAUAAUUAAUUGCUUCAUUGAAACAAAGAGAUAUAUAUAUUGAAUGAACGAAACUUCCACAGUGGUACUGUUGUUAUAUAAGGUUGUGUACGUAUAUAUAUAGUAGCUAAGUAAGUAUAUACGCACAUUACAUCUUUUUUGUAUCAGGUGGUGUAGUAGUUAAUUAUAUCACAUCUCAAUUUAUUAUCUAAUAACUAUAUAUAUAUAUAUAUAUAUAGAGAGAGAGAGAGAGAGAGAGAGAGAGAGCGCUAGACUGGUAUACUAUCGGUAGCACGAAGGCCCCCGUACUAUCAAAUUAUUUUUAAUAUUGCGGUCUCCAAAUCGAUGAUCGGCUCCGUUAGACUUGAUCGACACUAUUAAAAGUAUUUGAAAACUAAAUUUCAUAAUUUUCGACAUCAUUUAUCUAUCAAACGAUUAGUUUAAAAAUAAACGAUUAAAAAUAAAAAUCUCAUAAAAAAUGUUGAAAAAAGGCUUGAAUUUAAGAUCAGAGAUACUGAUCUUACUCUAAAUUCUGAAAAUAUUUUUCUAUAAAAACUUCAUUAAAUUUGGAUUAUUUUUGAACGUUAAAUUUACAAACACAUCAUAUCUAUUAUUAAAAUUGUCAAUUUUGAGACCUUUUGAUUACUAGCCAAUGAUGUCGAAAAAUUAUAAUUAAAAUUUAAUUUUCAAAUACUUUUAAUAAUUUAGAUCAAGUCUAAUGGAACCGACCGUCGAUUUGAAAACCGCAUCAUUGAAAACAAUAAUGUAGAUCAAGUCUAAUAGAACCGACCGUCGAUUUGGAAACUGUAUCAUUGAAAACAACUUGGUAGCGUGAAGGCCUUCGUGCUACCGAUAAUAUACCAAUCUCUCUCUCUCUCUCUCUCUCUCUCUCUCUCUCUCUAUAUAUAUAUAUAUAUAUGGCAUUGCUUUUAUGCUACAGUGUUCUAGCUCUAAUCUUCAUAAAGUGUGCAUCGCCAUCCACAUUAAUGUGAAACUAAUAAUUCCAUAUUGUCGCCGUAUAACCAUCUAGAUCAUCCUCUUAACAAUAAUUGAACGGAUCAAAUUACUCCUCGAACCAUCCUCAUCACGAGGGCCCUCUAUUUGUCUUACGCGCACACAGUGAGACAAAUGCCUCUCUAACAUUCACACCUGUAUAUAUAAGAUCUUUGGAUCAGUUGUUACUGUUGGAGCCAAUCCAUAUAUGGGGCCUUACGAUCGAGCAAAUGAUCGAGGCUCAGCUACUUUAACAGAGAUUUUUAUUUUAUUGCUAAUUAAUAAAAUAUUGGAGAAUUAAGCUUUAGACUAAAGCAAAGCAUAUAUAUAUACAAUAUUAUUAAGCUAAACAUCUAUUCUAUUAAUAGGUGUCAAUUGCUAUUCAACUAUUUGGUUGAAGAAGAGUAAAAUACAUUUCAAUCGAAAUCAAAACGGAUCAUUGGUUCUUCGACCAUUGAACGCGAUUGUUUUGAAGUACUCUAGAGUAAAGUGAAGUUAACCUAUAUCAUCAUAGCAAAAUAUGUCGACGUUCGAACAAAUUUAGAGCAUUUUAGACAUUUCUUACUCAAUUUAAUGAUGUUUAGAUGUGUUCUCAUUGAGGAACAUGUAGAGGGAUAUUCAGAUGACUCGUUUGCUACAUCACCACCACAUCAGUAGAUGUGAUGCAUGUGGAGCAAAUACAGAGUAGGGUUUCUUCGUCGAUCGACUUUGACGUGACAUUGCAACUAAUUGAUUCGUAGAUGCGCCUAGAGCAUAUAAUGGUUCGUUAAUUGAACAAGUAAACAAAUAAAAUUACGCUAACUAAAUUUGUUAAGUAUGUUGGUUACCAUGUCCUUGAUCAAACCAACUCUCUACAUUUCGUUUCCUCUAAGUUUCUAUUGGUUGUUCUGCUAAUUUGGCAUAUGCCCACCAUGCAUCAAAAUUAAUUGUUUAUCACAUGCCAAUAUAUCACUAAUUAAUGUGUAAAUCCUACGUGCACUAAUUAAUAUUUAGAUCUCUCUCUCUCUCUCAUUUUCAGAAAUAUUGUUUCUAAUGGCAGGUGGAUUAUAUAUAUAAAGUACAUCCAAUACUUUCGAAAGUACGGACGCUUUCUUAUUUAUAAGUUGUUUUUGAUGAUUAGACAUCUAAUUUGACGAUCGGCUCUGUUAGGUAUAUAUAAUUUACGCUAUUGAAAUUAUUUCGAAACCAAAUUUUAUAAUUUUUCGAUAUCAUUUACCAAGUGAUCAAAAAGUCUAAAAAAUGACCAUUUUAACGGUUGAUAUGUCAUGUUUAAGUUCAACGGUAUAGAACAAUCCAAAUUAUAUGAAAUUUUAAUAAAAAAAUCUAUUUAAUAUAAAUAGCAAGAACAAUACUUCUGAUUUAAAAUUUGAGUUUUUUAAUAUUGCUUUUUAUGAUAUUUUUAUUUUUAGCCGUUCAUUUUGAGAUUACUUGUUCACUAGACAAAUAAAGUUAAAAAAUUAUAAAAUUUAAUUUAUAGAUAGUUCCAAUAGCGUAGAUCAUGUCUAACAAAUUUGAUCGCUGAACCAGAGCCCUCCGUACUUUUGAAAGUUUUGCAACCAUAUAUAUAUAUAUAUAUAUAUAGAGAGAGAGAGAGAGAGAGAGAGAGAGAGAGAGAGAGAGAGAGAGAGAGAGAGAGAGAGAGAGAGACUCCUAUAAUAUUUAUAGUAUUGGGGCUCCGGUACUAUUAUCUUAUUUGCGAUUUUAGAGUGUUCAAAUCAACGAUUCACAUAUUUAAAAUUAAUUUAGGAUAUCUGAAGUCUUUAAAAAUAAAAUUUUAUAACCAGUUGGAAUUUAUGUUUAAGCAUGUAGAUGAACAAUAUCUCCCGAACACUGCUAUGUGGCUUAUCUCAAAGAAAAAGAAAAAGAAAACACUGUUAUGUGGCCCUUCGUUACAGAUAACUAAAUAAACUUGUCGCCAAGUUAAUUAUUCCAAAAGAUCUUACCUUUCAUUGAUGUAUCAAACUUUUGUCUCUAACCUGAAUAUAGUGCUCACAAAAUGCUUGCAAAACCGACCGUCCCUAGAGCAAGUGGCAAAAGGCUUGGUGGUUGCUAUCUAUCUCUCAAAAAACAAAAAAAAACAAAAAAAAAAAGCUUACAUAAGGACUAUUUAUGAAUAAAGCAUAUUCUAGAAGUCAAUUAAUGAGGUGUACAUAUAUAUCAUGGACAAAAAUUUUGUGGGCACCAUCCCUAAACUAAUAGUUUGGGGACUGUGCGGAUGGGCGCCAUGCAUAUGGCCGAUUUGACGGAUGCCGUUCUCUGCUAUUCUCUCACUCUCUCUAAAAAUACAGGGAUUUUUUGUUUCUUCCUUUCCAUCGGUGGCUGUCGGAUGGGCCACAUGGCACCAUCCGCAUGGUCCCCAAACCAAUUAGUUUGGGGAUCGUGCCCAUAAAAUUUGUGUCCAUAUAUCACCACAUUUUCAUGCAUUAAUUACAACUCAAUCAGUAGAGUAAUGUUUCCAUAAUAGAGUCUUUAUUUUAUUGAUUAUUCUACAAUUCUUUAAUCUCGUGAAAAAUGCAAUGGGCAAAAUAGAAUUUGCAGUAUUAAUUUAAAAACAAUGAGUUAAUAAGAAAAAUUAGAAAGAUAUAUAUAAGUCUUAUGUAGAAAGAAAAUUUAAAUAUUUGAUAAACUCAAAUGGAGAUCCAAGUAAAAGGAUUUCUUUUUUCAAAAUUUUGGCUUCUCUAAUUAGUUAUUUGUUAUGAUUUUAUACAUUCGAUCAUUUAUUUCAAUGCGCUUUCUAAAAAUUGAAUGUGCUAUAUCUUUACCGGAUCUGAAAUAUUAAGUGACUCUCACUAUCUUUUUUCUUUUUUUUUUGUGAGAGAUAGGUUGUAUGCUACCCGCUUCGUGUAUUUCAUUUAAAAAUAAACUUAGCUAGAAAUGUGAACUAAUUAGGAUUCGAACUUAGGACUCUCACUUUCUGUGCCGUUGUACUUACAUAUGUAUAUAUAUCAAAAACCUAAUACCACAUAUAAAAAGACACAGAUUCUCAUGGCUUAAAUAUAUGAAGGUUAUCUUGGUCACCAAUGAGCUCCAAACUCCAAAAUUAUUUAUAACUACUAAAUUAAUAUAUACGUGAUCGAAUGUAUAAAUGUAAAUGUACAUGGAGAUAUAUGGAGAGAGGAACUAGCUUUUUUGCUGUGAAGUUGUUCUAUAAAAAGAACCGAUCAAAAACAUGCAUGGGACCAGUUGCAUCCACUUUUUAUCACCACAAAACUUGUUUUCGACGUGUAAAUAAUCCUCAAGAUUAAGCCUCACAUUCGAUUUUAUCAAACUUAUGAACAUUAAUAUACAUUAAUAUAAUUCAAUAUUUUUCGGUCACGCCAAGUAAUGAACGAUCAACUUGCCACAUUUGCUCGAUCAAUAAAUAUAGACAUGUAAGUCUUCGACGUUAAGUUAGUCUCUGCCAUCUAUUAAUGGCUGUGAUAAACUGAUCAUCGAAAAUAAAAUUUGUGAUUUGAAUCGAAGUAGAAUUUGGUGAUCAUAUUAAUGCUUGCAUUACAAAAAAAAAAAAAAACACACACACACAAUACUUGUGGGAUACAUACUCAGUCUUGUAGAAUUUGUGUUCACAUUUUUUGUCAUAAUGCGACACUAUGAAAUCCUCCCUAACCUUGCCGCAACUGUAGAAUUAUUUGUGUUCUUAAAUUUCUUUUCUUUGUUUUCUUUUAAUUGAUCAUGGUCAAUUCAGCUUCUCGCGAAACUACGCCGUUGAUUGCUUUCGGAUUGAUGGACUCACUCAGCCAUUAAAACAGGUUCACACAUUUUGAUGUUGUCAAUUUGAUGUUGUCAAUAUAGACACUAACUACAACUGUCCAAUUUUUAGAUUUCACUCACUUUCACUCAGUUUUCUUCUUCUAGUUUUUGUUGAUUUUUGGAAAGGAAAAAUUGUUCAAAGUCAAAAGUAUUUACAGUUGAUUUAGAUGAAUCCAUUCGAGUCUACAUCUAUCAUUUAUAAUUCCUACCUACCAAAGAGACUUAGUGAUGUCCAUGUUUGGCUUGUCUCUCUAUUUUCCUUAUUAAUUCCAUCCCUUUUUCUCCAUUAAUUUGCUUGAUAUAUAUUGAUUGAUGGAAGAACCAUGUUUGCUGAGAACCAACCACUUCAGCAAUAAUUAUUUAGCUUUGUUGGUUACUUUUCCUCCAACAAAAGAAAAAUUGAUGGUAAAUGUAACUUUCAGAGAUUUAAAUUUGAGUAUAUAUAUAUAUAUAUAUAAACGUAUUUGAUAGUGAUAUUCUUAGUAAUUGUACGUAAAUAGUCGUAGCCUGAUUACUCUCCAUUUGACGCUUAAAACUUGAUCAGUGGCCUGAAAAAAAUAUAAAAAUAUACAUACAUGCAUGAUUGAAUAUAGUGCAUUUUGAGAUGAAUGUGUGAAUUUUGAUGCUUUGAAUUCAGCAUCUAAUAUUUUCUUCUUCCUCUUUUUGUAAUUUUUAUAUAUAUAUAUAUAUAUAUAUAUAUAUAUAUAUAUAUAUAUAUAUAUUAUUAAGAAAAGUUACACGCAUCGAUGAUUAAGUUUGGGCCAAGAGACCGACCGUCCCUAGAGCAAGUGGCAAAGGACUUGGCGGUUGGUACCCGAGACCCAAGUUCGAAUCCUAGUUGAUUCACAUUUUCAGCUAAGUUUUUUUCUAAAUGAAAUAAACGAAGCGGUUAGCGUGCUACCUAUCUCUCAAAAAAAAAAAAGUUUGGGCCAAGAGAUUUUGAGGAUUCCUCCAGAAUCUAGGCACUGUUGAAAAAUUUCUGCCCAAAGAUUAAUUAAACUAAAAAAAUAUAAAAAUAAAAACCAAUUGAGUAAAGAGAAGUUAGAGUACACUUGCUACUUUUGGCAUUGAAGGUGAAAAGCACCAUAAUGGUGAGGUUAUUCUUAUCAUUAAUUUAGUGUGAUAAAUUAACCAUUUGUGAUUAGGAGCUUCAAGAUAAGAUUGCUUUGCUUAAUUAUAUAAUUAAUCUUUUUAAGGUAUAACUAAGUUGAUGGGAUUCCUUUUUCGAUCUGUUUUGGGUUAAUAUUCUGAAGAGUAUAGGAAUCAUGCUUUUCUAAGAUGGCUCGAUUGACUCAAUCUGGACAUAUAGUAGAAAAAGAAAAAAAGUGAGUCAGGCACAUAUAGUGUAUCACUUUAUGUUACAUAUUCAAAGCUAGUUAGGUCUAAACCAAUGGUCUUAGGCAAUAUCAAUCCACAGCUACCACAGUAGAAAAAUGUACACGUAUUAAGCUCCACAGGCCCCAAAAAGUCUCCUAUGCGACACUUAUAUUAAAUUAUUGAUAACCAGUCAAUCAUAUUUUUUUAUUAGAGAAAAAAUUAUAAUAAUAGUAUUUUUUUAAUAAUCAUAAUAUAACGAGUGAAUCCACGAGCAAUAAUUUGAUUGGCUGGGAACACCACAUCAGAAAAGAAAAGUAUAUCUAAAUUAAUAUUUGCUUAUAAAUAUUUUUAUUUUAUGAAUCUAUGGGCAGCUAAAAUUAAAAGUAGAGAAGUGUAUCUGUAUAUUACCUUGUUCUAUUUUUUUGAACAAAACCAGAAAAACAAAAGUUGGUCGAGUAAAUUUCUCUCGCUCACGACCGAUCUCUCUCUGUUGAAACUUAAAUUGUCUGUCUAGUUUGAUAUCCAAAAUUAUAUUUAUAUUGUGAAAAAUAAUAUUUAUAUUGUACACAAAGUUGUUAAUGCAAAAUUAUUUAUAGUUUUUCAAAUAACAAAAUGGUAUGAUUCUCAUUUAACAAAAUUGUAUGAGGGAUUAAUCACCCUGCGACGUCUUACAGUCAAAAGAAAAAAAAGAAAAAAGAAAAGCUGAUACUAGCACACCGGUCAAAUGUGGGCCCACCUAAUUAGGAAUCCUCCAAUUAGUUAAAUAAGAAAUUAAUAAAAUUUUUUAAAGAUAGAUAGUAUGUUAUUCGUUUUAUUUAUUUUAUUUAAAAAUAAAUUUAGUUAGAAAUAUGAAUCAAUUAGAAUUCGAAAUUUGGAUCUUGAGUACCAACCAUCAAAUUCUUUACCACUUGCGCCAGGGACGGUCGGUAGGUAAGAAACUUGAACAUGGAAAAGAAUAAUACAUGCAAAGCAAAAAUAAAAUUUAAAAAAGAAGAAAAAGAAGAAGAAGAUAAGAAGAAUCAUAAGAAGCAUCAUUCCUUGAACAGUUAAGCAUCAGCUCCAAUCAUACACGAUUCACGUGUUCAUCGUUUUAUUCUUUUAAAUGUACGCGUUCAUUAAAUCUCAAAACAUUUUUUUUUUUAAUUGAAAAGGGAAAAUCGGGCUCCAAAGAUUCCUUUGUGUCAUUGUGUGUGUUUGUGUCUGUGUGUGUCUUUGUUAUCUAAAUAGCACCAAAGGGACCAGUGGAAAAUGACUUGUCCACCUACAUGGAAACUUUAAGUAUAAGUUUUGCCAAAAACCACAAAUUAAAACACCACAAUUAACCCACUUGUUAAUUUGGAGUCCACGUCUCGGUGGGUAGUAGCUAGUGGCUAUGGGCCAUGAAUUAAGUAGGUGGUUCUCUAAUUACUUUCCUAAUUAAACUCAAUUAUCCCCAUAUCUGGUUGGAAUCUGACUCGACCUAUGAUAGAUCCUAACUAGAAUUAUAAAAAUACAUAUCAUUAAGAAUUUGGAUCUAGCUUUUAGACUUAGAUGUUACAUUUAUUAGAAACACAAUUCAAUAUUUUCGGUUUUGAUCAGUUUCAAAGCCAACUGGUGGGUACCAUGCUGGUUGGUAUAAGUGUGACCAUUGAUUAUUUCGUCCACACUAGUUAAAAUAUAAUACCUAAAAAAUACAAGAGAGAGAGAGAGAGAGAGAGUCAUUUUAAUCACAAAGAACUAUGAGAUCGAUCGAGCAAGCAUAAAGUAUAAUUGAACUAUGUGUACAAUUUUGUUUCUAGUGCUUUUGAAUCGUAGCAGUGCUGAAAUUUGACCUAAUUAGUUAAAGAGACUUUAGGUGCAUGCUAGGGAGAGUGACACAUUAAUUGCGUGCUACUUUUUGCCAUUUGAAUUAUAUGUCCCAAAUGUAAACUUAGAAGGACGACUUUUCAUAUUCUAAUAAUCAUAGCAUUUGCAUUAAUUCCAGAACUUUGAUAGUUGGUACCUGAUAUUCCAAAUUUGAAAUCUAAUUGCUUUAUAUUUUUAAUUAAAUUUAUUUUUUUAAAAAUGAACAAAGCUGUAACAUUCUACAAUUCUCUAUAAUAAUAAUAUAUAACAAUAAUAAUAAUAAUAGUAGCAUUGGCCAAUGAAACCUACUCCUGGUGUAGUGGCUUGGGCUCAUAUCAAACAUUGUUAAGCUCUUUUAGCUAGCGUUGCUUUACGUGAAGGAAACAACUUUCUCAGUGGUGGGUUGCCUAAUAAAAAAAUUCCAAGUGUGCCCUUUUUCAUUUUUAUUUCAAGUUUAUAAUUAUUAUCUUCUAAAUCACAAAGUUUUUUAAUGAUGAAAUAGCAAAGCAAACUUUUUUAACAAGGUGGUGGUUUUCGGAUAAAACUUGUGCGCGCAUCAUCAAAAGCUUUAAAAUGUUGAAAGCAUGAUUUAAGAGAGAAAUAUAAUAGAUAAGUAAUAAGGCGCGAUCAAUCACAUUAAUUUUAACAAAUUAGUAUGAAUAGAUAAUUAACUAGGCCACAAUUAUAUCAUCAAACUUUGGGUACACUUGACUUGUCAUUCUCACAAGCGUGAUAUAUAUAUAUUUCGACACUAAGCAAUGCAAGUGCUAAAUCUAUUCUAAAAUGCAUGCAGUUCUUAGAUGUAUAUCUUAAAAUCAAACUCCUCAUUUUCAUGUACAAUGCAUUAAUUCUAAAUUAAGUAUGUACUUAAUGUUAAGUCACGCUCACGCAUUACGGGCUUCAACCUUAAAAUAAAGGAAAAAAAUUAUUGAAGCACACAUAGGAAUGAAUUGCCAUGAUAUAUAUAUAAUUUAGCUGAAAAGAGAAGAAAUAUAUGUGAUCUAUGGUUCUUAGAUUUGAAUGACAUCCAUAAUAUCUUCAAUCGUGCAAAUAAAGUAAUCAAAGUACCCUAAGUGAUCACUUCAUUUUUCACUUUCCAAAUGGAUGAAGAUAAGGUUCAAUUUUCACCACCUUGUUAAAAAAAUGGGGAAAGUAUGCGAAACACUUUUUUAAUCAAACAAGUGAAGACACAUUAUGGUAGCAAAACCACCCAAUUAUUAAAAGAGCAAGUUCUUAUCGCUCGUCUUAUGCCUCGACAAGUCGCGUUAAGUUGACGCAAAUGUUACUUUCGACCAAAUUUGCACAAAUCCAUUGAAAAGACAAUCAGUAAGAAAAGCAAUUCAUCCGUCCACAUUUGGAGUAAACAACAUGAAGAAACUUAGAUAAGAAUUGAUGAUGACAAAUUCAAUGAGUUGAGAAAUUAACUAGUUUUUAGGUGACUACAUUUAGUCCACGUAGCUAAGAGUCGAAUAAAGUAAAAAAGGUUACAAAAGAUUAGGCAAGGAUUAGUACUUCUCCUGUAAUGGAUGCAUUCGAUUUAAUCAAUGAGAGUCCUUCAGAUGUGACACUAAAGUAUUAUUUGCAAAAUUUACUUUUUUGUGCCACAAUAGGAGUUUGUAUGGAAAAUAAAAAGAAUAUGUGGUACGCAUUCAUGUUUAAGUAUACAAGAACAAGCACAUGCAGCGCAAUUCUAUUUCUUCUCCAAUGUAUUAACAUAGAAAGAGAGGAUAUAAGGUUAUGAUUUUGUAAAGUACUAGAUGCUUUUCCUUGGCUUAAUUAAUUUGCUUUACAUGCCCAAUUAUGAUUUUGCAUGUGAAGUAGAAGUUUUUCCUUGGCUUAAUUUGCUUUACAUCUCCAUCUUUCGAAGCCCCAUUCAACAUGAACGCUAAUAUUAUUCUAAUUGUGAAAAAAAUGACAACUUACUAUCGUCUCGUUCUAUUUUCUUUUAGAAAUAAAUUUAUAAUUAGCUGAAAAUGUAAAACAACUAGAUUUUGAAUUUGAAAUUUGGAAUAUUAAUCAUCAAGUUCUUCAUCAUCUCUACUAAGAAUAGCCGAUAACCCCGUUCUAAUUGUGAUUUAAUACUUCCAAUUGCUUAGAAAAUAAGAAUUUAUUUGAAUCGAUUGGAGUUUUACAAAACUGUUGUGGGAGUAGUGCAUUAUGAAGUAACAGUGGAAACUAUUUUAUAAAAUACUUUUGGUUUUAUAAAGAAGUAUAUUUUACAACUGUAAAUGAUUGGAUAUAUGAUGGGCUUUGGGCUGAGGCCCACAUAUUUUGAGGUACAACUGAUAGUUGGAAAGUGCACAUAUAAUGUUGUGGAAAAUAUUAAUUGACAGUGUACGUUUUCUUGUUUAUUUAAAAAAUGUAUAUAUGUGCUUCAGUAUUUUUAAAAGUAUAGAAAUUUAAUAUACUCAUAAUUUUUUUAGCCAUUGAAUCACCUCAAGAUUCAUAUAGUAUUAAUAAAUAAGUCUUAAUGGGACAUACCGUUAAUAAUACUAUAUGGAUCUUGAGAAGAUUCAUCAGCUAAGAUAUUAUAAGGACAAAUAUUCAUAUGCUUUUAAAAGAACGGGAGCUCAACUCUCUCUCUAUAUAUUGAUCUUUUAAGAGGAUUGAGUUUACCCAUUGUGUUUAAUACAGUUGACUAAGCUCUUAAUUAUUGAUACUUAUUGAUACUUGAGCUUCUAAAUUCAAAACCUCAUUGUUUUAUAUUUCUAAUUGAGAUUAUUUUUUAAAAAAAUAAACAAAAUAAUAGAUAUAUAGUUUGUCACAAUUCUGUUAAAAAAAAAGCACCUUAUUUAAUUGUUAUCCUUAAAUUAAUUCCAUGUGCCCGCAUAAUUAGUUGGAGAGGAAAAAGAAGUGGCAAAGAAUCUCUUUACCAUCUAGUUGUACAGUGACAUUAAUUAUGCGUGACGUUUCACAUCAAUAAAAACCAAAACUUGGUUAUAAAUCGCUCUCACAUAAUUUCCACACCAAAAAACACACAUUUUCGUAUGGUAUUUCCCCAAACUUGUUACAUUUUCAUCUCAUUAUUCCUAUGUUCUAUCAAAUAAGAGAAUAAGUAUGAUUAAUAUAUUCUUGUCGCAUAGUUAAGUUCCAUGUCUUUUAUGUCUGCAUCAAAAUAUGAAGCUACAGCAAAACAAGGAACAAAUGAAUAAGAUAACCUAACAACUCUUUUGCUUUGUCCUCACCUUUCAUCGUUGUAGGGCCUCUCAAUGCAAUAUAUCUAUGUCCCUUUAUGAGGACAAUAUUUGGGGAACCAUAACUAAUUGGUCCACACCCAACUUAGUUGUUCCUGAUCGAAGGAAAACCUUGCAUAGAUCUAUGGCACUUUUUCAAUAAAAAAAAGAAGAAGAUAAUGUACGUAUUUCCUCAAACUUUUGGCAUGCUUGCAACUUAGAUGCCAAACUUCUAAAAUUUUUUUUAAAAAAGGACUUGUGUACUAUUAGAAGCACAGAAGCCUCCGUGCUUUUAAAUCGUUUUCAAUAAUGUGACUUUCGAAUCGAUGAUCGGCUCCGUUAGACUUAAUCUGAUGUCUUUGAAGAAUUUAGAAAAUAUUUUUUGCAGAUUUUCAAUAGUAUUCAUGUAGUGAUUGAAAGGAUUCAAAAUUAAUAAUUUUUAAUAUUUGAUGUAUGCCGUUUACUAGUUUAAUAGUAUAGAAGUAUUCAAAUCAGAUAAAAUUUUGAUAGAAAAAUUUUUUUACUAUCUACAACAAGAUCAAUAUUUCUGAUAAAAAAUUUUAAUGCUACAUUAUAAUUUUUUAUAAGAUUUUUGUUUUUAACCAUUGAUUUUGAGUUUUUUCGAUCAUUAUGUAAGUGAUAUCGAAAAAUCGUCAAAUUUAUUUUCUAGAUUGUUUAAAUAUGUAAAAUCAAGUCUAAUAAAGCUGAUUGUCGAUUCGGAAGUCAAAUCAUUAAAAACGACUUAGGAGAACGAAGGCUUCCAUUCUUCUAAUAGUAUACAAGGCCUUCUCUCUCUCUCUCUCUCUCUCUCUAUAUAUAUAUAUAUAUAUUAGGCUGUUUUGCUUUCGAAAGUACAGAUUUCGUACUUGUAAAUUAUUUACAAUCAUGAAAAAACCAAUUUGGCGAUCAAGAUUUUAGUCGGUCGUUGGAUCAACUCUAAGUUUUAUUAACUUUCCAAAGUAAUUCAUUAUUCUAUGAAAGCUAGAUACGUUAAAUAUUUUUAAAAUUAUUUUAAAGAAUAAGCAUAAACUUUAUUAACUUUAUUAAAGAAUAACCAAUUUGUAACUUUAUUAACUUUAUUUUAAAGAACAAUGCAAUAGUCCCAUAGUUCAAUUACCGUUCUUCCUAAGUCCACUCACCAACCAUGUACUCUUUCACAUGCCUAACAUUUAAAAAAAUUUGUAUNUUUUUAAUCAAACAAGUGAAGACACAUUAUGGUAGCAAAAACACCCAAUUAUUAAAAGAGCAAGUUCUUAUCGCUCGUCUUAUGCCUCGACAAGUCGCGUUAAGUUGACGCAAAUGUUACUUUCGACCAAAUUUGCACAAAUCCAUUGAAAAGACAAUCAGUAAGAAAAGCAAUUCAUCCGUCCACAUUUGGAGUAAACAACAUGAAGAAACUUAGAUAAGAAUUGAUGAUGACAAAUUCAAUGAGUUGAGAAAUUAACUAGUUUUUAGGUGACUACAUUUAGUCCACGUAGCUAAGAGUCGAAUAAAGUAAAAAAGGUUACAAAAGAUUAGGCAAGGAUUAGUACUUUUCCUGUAGUGGAUGCAUUCGAUUUAAUCAAUGAGAGUCCUUCAGAUGUGACACUAAAGUAUUAUUUGCAAAAUUUACUUUUUUGUGCCACAAUAGGAGUUUGUAUGGAAAGUAAAAAGAAUAUGUGGUACGCAUUCAUGUUUAAGUAUACAAGAACAAGCACAUGCAGCGCAAUUCUAUUUCUUCUCCAAUGUAUUAACAUAGAAAGAGAGGAUGGUUAUGAUUUUGUAAAGUACUAGAUGCUUUUCCUUGGCUUAGUUUGCUUUACAUGCCCAAUUAUGAUUUUGCAUGUGAAGUAGAAGUUUUUCCUUGGCUUAAUUUGCUUUACAUCUCCAUGUUUCGAAGCCCCAUUCAACAUGAACGCAAAUAUUAUUCUAAUUGUGAAAAAAUGACAACUUACUAUCGUCUCGUUCUUUUUUUUUUUAAAAAAAAUAAAUUUAUAAUUAGUUGAAAAUGUAAAGCAACUAGAUUUUGAAUUUGAAAUUUUGAAUAUUAAUCAUCAAGUUCUUCAUAAUCUCUACUAAGAAUAGCCGAUAACCCUGUUCUAAUUGUGAUUUAAUACUUCCUAUUGCUUAGAAAAUAAGAAUUUAUUUGAAUCGAUUGGAGUUUUACAGAACUGUUGUGAGAGUAGUGCAUUAUGAAGUAACAGAGGAAACUAUUUUAUAAAAUACUUUUGGUUUUAUAAAGAAGGAUAUUUUACAACUGUAAAUGAUUGGAUAUAUGAUGGGCUUUGGGCUGAGGCCCACAUAUUUUUAGGUAAAACUGAUAGUUGGAAAGUGCACAUAUAAUGUUGUGGAAAAUAUUAAUUGACAGUGUACGUUUUCUUGUUUAUUUAAAAAAUGUAUAUAUAUGUUCUUCUGUAUUUUUAAAAGUAUAGAAACUUAAUAUAUUCAUAAUUUUUUUAGCCAUCGAAUCCCUUCAAGAUUCAUAUAGUAUUAAUAAAUAAGUCUUAAUGGGACAUACCGUUAACAAUGCUAUAUGGAUCUUGAGAAGAUUCAUCAACUAAGAUAUUAUAAGGACAAAUGUUCAUGUGCUCUUAAAAGAACGGGAGCUCAACUCUCUCUCUAUAUAUUGAUCUUUUAAGAGGAUUGAGUACACCCACUGUGUUUAACACAGUUGACUAAGCUCUUAACUGUUGAUACUUGAGCUUCUAAAUUCGAAGCUUGAUUAUUUUAUAUUUCUAAUUGAGAUUAUUUUUUAAAAAAAUAAACAAAAUAAUAGAUAUAUAGUUUGUCACAAUUCUGUUAAAAAAAAAAGCACCUUAUUUAAUUGUUAUCCUUAAAUUAAUUCCAUGUGCCCGCAUAAUUAGUUGGAGAGCAAAAUGAAGUGGCAAAGAAUCUCUUUACCAUCUAGUUGUACAGUGACAUUAAUUAUGCGUGACGUUUCACAUCAAUAAAAACCAAAACUUGGUUAUAAAUCGCUCUCACGUAAUUUCCACACCAAAAAACACACAUUUUCGUAUGGUAUUUCCCCAAACUUGUUACAUUUUCAUCUCAUUAUUCCUAUGUUCUAUCAAAUAAGAGAAUAAGUAUGAUUAAUAUAUUAUUGUCGCAUAGUUAAGUUCCAUGUCUUUUAUGUCUGCAUCAAAAUAUGAAGCUACAGCAAAACAAGGAACGAAUGAAUAAGAUAACCUAACAAUUCUUUUGCUUUGUCCUCACCUUUCAUCGUUGUAGGGCCUCUCAAUGCAAUAUAUCUAUGUCCUUUUAUGAGGACAAUAUUUGGGGAACCAUAACUAAUUGGUCCACACCCAACAUAGUUGUUCCUGAAGGAAAACCUUGCAUAGAUCUAUGGCACUUUUUCAAUAAAAAAAAGAGAAGAAGAUAAUGUACGUAUUUCCUCAAACUUUUGGCAUGCUUGCAACUUAGAUGCCAAACUUCUAAAUUUUUUUUUAAAAAAGGACUUGUGUACUAUUAGAAGCACAGAAGCCUCCGUGCUUUUAAAUCGUUUUCGAUAAUGUGACUUUCGAAUCGAUGAUCGGCUCCGUUAGACUUAAUCUGACGUCUUUGAAGAAUUUAGAAAAUAAUUUUUGCAGAUUUUCGAUAUUAUUCAUCUAGUGAUUGAAAGAAUUCAAAAUCAAUAAUUUUUAAUAUUUGAUGUAUGCCGUUUACUAGUUUAACGGUAUAGAAGUGUUCAAAUCAGAUAAAAUUUUGAUAGAAAGAUUUUUUUACUAUCUACAACAAAUCAAUAUCUCUGAUGAAAAAUUUUAAUGCUACAUUAUAAUUUUUUAUAAAAUUUUUGUUUUUAACCAUUGAUUUUGAGUUUUUCUGAUCAUUAUGUAAGUGAUAUCGAAAAAUCGUCAAAUUUAUUUUCUAGAUUGUUUAAAUAUGUAAAAUCAAGUCUAAUAGAGCUGAUUGCCGAUUCGGAAGUCAAAUCAUUAAAAACGACUUACGAGAACAAAGGCUUCCAUUCUUCUAAUAGUAUACAAGGCCUUCUCUCUCUCUCUCUCUCUCUCUCUAUAUAUAUAUAUUAGACUGUUUUGCUUUCGAAAGUACAGAGAUUUCGUACUUGUAAAUUAUUUACAAUCAUGAAAAAACCAAUUUGGCGAUCAAGAUUUUAGUCGGUCGUUGGAUCAACUCUAAGUUUUAUUAACUUUCCAAAGUAAUUCAUUAUUCUAUGAAAGCUAGAUACGUUAAAUAUUUUUAAAAUUAUUUUAAAGAAUAAGCAUAAACUUUAUUAACUUUGUAAAUUUCAAAAAAAAUAUUUGGUUGAGUUCUCUAAUUUUUUUUUGGUUGAGUUCUCUAAAGAACAAUGCAAUAGUCCCAUAGUUCAAUUACCGUUCUUCCUAAGUCCACUCACCAACCAUGUACUCUUUCACAUGCCUAACAUUUAAAAAAAUUUGUAUAUUUGUAUACUAUAUAUAUAUAAUAUAAGUUACUACCUCAAUAAUUAACUACGCUCGAAUCAUGUUCGCUUCACAUGCCUCUUCUUCCACAAAUACAAUUCCCCAUACCAAACUUCCCCACUAAAUAUGUUGACCUCGUGGCCUCUCUAAGCAAGACGCAUUUAAGACUUUUCUACUUUAAUAAGUUUGUAAUUAACUCUUCUUGUAUUUCCACUAGAAAAUACUAUAUGUAUAUUCAUAUAUUGGAAAAUUUUUUUAGUUUUUAAUAUUAAAAAAACAAUAGUUCUUAAAUAUAUUUGUAUGUAAAUUUAAUGCCUCGUUCGAGCGUAUACUAAAUAAAUUGAUAAAAAUAAACGAAAUAUUCAGAAUUUUAAUGAAAGUACUAUUAAUUGACUCGAAUCAAAUAAAUUAAGAGAUUGAAUAAUAAAAUUAAAAUUUUAAAAAGAUAUAUAGUCGACUAAAAAUAGUUUAUAGUUCAAAUAAAUUAUUUAAAAUUUUAUCAUAAUUAAACUGGCAAUGUUAGCCCUAUAAUUCUCCAAAGUUGUAAUCUUACAACUUCAAUUAUCUAAGGGCCAUGUUUUUUUAACUUAUCUUGUCCAAUUUUUUUAACUAAAAGGUUUUUAAAAGUGGCCACAUCAUCACGCACCGACUCCUUCCAUGUACUACCAUAUGAAUUACUACGUUGCUAAUCAUAGUUUUUUAAAGAAAAAAAUAAAAUAAAAUUUAUAUUUUUAAAAAAAUUUUAAAAAAUAGUCUGAUCCAUUAAAGUCACCACAUUAGCAAUGUAAUUUAUAUUCAAUGCCUUUUUUUUCCUAUAAUAAUAAUAAUAAUAAUAAUAAUAAUAUUAUUAUUAUUAUUAUUAUUAUGACUAGAGCUAUUAUACUCUUAUGAGUAUAGAGCCUUUCAUACUCAUGAGUUAUUUUCAAUGAUUGAACUUCCAAAUCGACGAUCCACUCCGUUAAAUAUGAUUUAGAGUAUUUAAAAUUUUUAAAAAAUAAAAUUCGUAAUUUUUUAAAAUUAUAAAAAAAUUCAUCAAGUAGAUAUAGAAUGAACGGUCAAAAUCGAACAAUGUCUUAAAAAUGGAUGAUCGGAUCCUUCAAUUUAAGAUCAGAGUUAUUGAUCUUUAUCUAUAUAGUGAAUAUAAUUUUCUAUCAAAAAUUUAACCAAUUUCGAUUCUUUUACGCCGUUAAACUAACAAAUAUGUUAUACGGGCCGUUAAAAAUUAUCAAUUUUGUGACCUUUCGAUCGUAAGGUAAAUGAUGUUGAAAAAUUAUAAAAUUUGAUUUCUAGACGUUUUAAAUAUUCUAGAUAACGUUUAACGGUGUGGAUCGUUGAUUCGAAAGCUCUAUCCUCAAACACAACUUAUGAAUACGAGGGUGAUUUUAGUCGUUAGAGUAUAGUAGCUGGACUCUAUUAUUAUUAUUAAAAUAUGUGGGCCCCACAAAACAGCAUAUUUUGGACACACAUGUAGGCCCUCGACCGAGUCACCGACGUGGUUACAAUACCAUUCCUCUUCGUCUUCUUCGUCUUCUUCAAUGCUCGUCUCAACCUUUUAAAGAGAAACCCCAGAAGAAGAGGGACUACGCUCCCAAAACCCCGUCCCCCAAAACCGCGUCCCCCAAAACCCCGUUUCCACCACCGCCACCGCCGCCGCCGCCGCCGCGAUGGGUUUCACGGUGACGAAGAUCUCGGAGGAGCGGGUCCGACCGGCCGGUCCGACCCCGAGCGGUUCGCUCCCGCUGGCGUGGGUCGACCGGUACCCGACCCACCGGGGCCUGGUGGAGUCGAUGCACAUCUUCACCAAGGCCACCGAACCGGCCCGGGUCAUCAAGGAAGCCCUCGCCAAGGCCCUCGUUUUCUACUACCCCCUCGCCGGUCGAAUCGUCGAACCGGUUCAGGGCGAACCGGCCAUCGAUUGCACGGCCGAUGGGGUCUAUUUUGUCGAGGCCGAGGCGAAUUGUAGCUUGGAGGAGGUGAAUUACUUGGAGAGGCCCCUCAUGCUCUCCAAAGAUGAGCUCGUCCCCUACCCUAGCAAAGAGGAUUGGGAGAUCGAACCCGCGAAUACGAUUAUGAUGAUGCAGGUGCGUUUGUAUGUAUAAAUUUUGUUCUACGUUUAACUUUAAUUCAUCGGUUUCAAAUUUUUUUUUAUUUUUUAUUUUUAACUUUUGGUUUGGGUUUUGUUUACUCUAUGAAUUUAGUCUCUUGAGUUUGAUUUGGAGUUGAUUUUUGUCGUAUAUAGUAAGUGUUUUAGUUUUAACGAUUUAGUGAAAUUUUGAUUAUAAUUUCAUCCUCAUCGUCGCCCUUAGGAUUUUAGAUUCGAAAAAAGAAAAGUAUUAUACAGCUUAAAUUUUAAGGAUCAAAUUGCUACAAUUAAAAUUACGAUGACUAAUUUGAAAUUAUUUCUGAAUUUCAAGGACUAGAUUAAAAUUAUGUGUAGAGUCAGAACCUAUGGAGAAUUGAAUUUUUGUGUUUAUUUUUUUUUUUAAAAAGUCCUUAUAUUUAUCUAUUUUUUUUUAAAAAAAAGUUCUUAUAUUUAUCUAAUUAUAAUGAGCAAACAAAGCUAUUUAUGAUUUGGUCCACCAAGUGUUAUUAUGUGCAUUGUUUGAAUAUUGGUUGAAUUAGUCGUUAGUGCUAAUUUAAUCAUACAUGUGGUUGGUGUUCCUUCUAGAAACUUUUAGCUGGCAUGUAAAGUAGAAGUAAUUCUCCUCAAUAAAUAAACGGUUAAUAAGUGAAAUGUUUGACUCUCAAUAUUAUGUUUUUAGAAUUUUACAUUGUAGUUUAUUGAAUUCUACCCAGUUGCUUUAUUAGUUCGUUUGGGAGAUCUGAAAUUAGACCCAGCUGAGUCAGACCUCCAUAAAUGCAUGAGUUCCAAGUCAAAUAGCUUCAAAUAGCUACCAUUAAAAAUAUUUUUUUUACAUUUAAAGUUCUUUCAGAAUAUCUUUAUAGUUAUAUUUUGUUAAUAAAUUAUUAGAAACAAUCUUUAUUUCUGUAAAAUUAUUAUUUUAUUUUUUAAAAUAUAUUUUAUUAUUAUUAUUAAUUUUUUUAAUUUAUCCUAAGUCAGGGACAUAAAAAAUAUUUUAACUUUUUAUUCUUUCAAAUAUUUUAUCCUUAAGCAGAGACAAAAUAGGUAUUUUGACUUUUUUAAUUUUGAUAUAAAUUUAACUAUAGGUUUAACUCGAAAUGACUUAACGGAUACUAACAAUAAGAUUUUUUUUAAAUAAUAAAAAAAAUAUACAAUAAGUAUAUUUAAAAUAAAAAUAUAAAUAUAAAUUAGAUAUUUUGAAAAUUAUGAAAAAUUUAUUGAUAAUUAGUUUUUAAAAUUUUAUAAAUAUUAAAAACUUGUUACUUCUAAAAGGAACGCGUAGCUCAGCUGUCCCCUUCACCUAUUGGUUUUGAAUUGGUCGGUACACGCAACUCCACAACCUACCUACCUACCUACCUAUCUGGCUGUUGCCAACCUGGCUUUGGCUCCGUAGAUUGACGACUCGGCUUCUUUCCCAAGUCGGGAUGUCAAUGGUUAUGGAUAUGCAAAAUUUUAUUCAAAUUCGAAUUCGAAUGAAAUAGAUAUAUUCGAUGGAUAUGGAUAUGAAUUUCGAUAUGGAUAUCAAAAAUAGAAACCCGACAGAUAUAGAUUUGAAUAUGAAUUUUGAUUGUACCCGACCUGAAUCCGAACCCGAAUCCGAACCAGACCCGUACCCGAAUCGAACCUGAAUUUAUUUUGUAUUAUAUAUAAGAUAUAUAUAAAAAUUUGAUGUUAUAUUUGAAUUUGUAUUUUAAAAAUUUAGAUUUAAUAUAAUAUAUUUUGAAAUAUUAAAAAAAGAAAUAAUUAUUUCAGGUUCAAAUUUUCGGGUUCGGGUUUAGGUUCGGGUUUCGAAUUUUUGGUCGGGUUCGAGUUUGGAUAUGAAUUUUUAAAAUCCGUCGGGUUCGGGUUCGGAUUCAGGUCUCGGGUUUGGAGUCGGAUUCGGGUUCGGAUUUUUAAAAAUUCGUUCCGAAUUCCAUCCGUUGGCAUCUCUAUUCGCAAGUGCCCUGUUUGGCUGCAUUCCUAGUUUUAAGAGUCCAUUGUUUGACCCGUCUUCUGCAGUCCUAGUUUUAAGAGUCCAUUGUUUGUUUGACUAUUAAAAAAAAUUCAAAAACCAAUGUAGACUUGUGAUCCCUAAGGCUGCGUUUGGUUCGGGUAUAAGUAAGAACUGUUAGUUCUAGGAAUAGGUACAAGUUCUGGUAUAAGCAGGAACUAGACCAAUUUUGCGUUUGGAUGAAAAUUGGGUUGUUCCUAGGAAUAAGGUAAAUAGUGUUUGGAUGGUUAGAUUGGAACAAGAGGAAUAAGAGUUAUAAUUUGAAAUUAAAAUUAUAUUAUGUAAUUAAUAGUAAUAAAAAUAUUACUUAAAAAUAAAUAAGAAAUUAAUUNUAUCUUUAUAGUUAGAUUUUGUUAAAUGAAUUAUUAGAAAUAAUCUUUAUUUCUGUAAAAUUAUUAUUUUAUUCUUUCAAAUAUAUUUUAUUAUUAUUAUUAAUUUUUUUUAUUUAUUCUUAAGUUAGGGAUAGAAAAAAUAUUUUAACUUUUUAUUCUUUCAAAUAUUUUAUCCUUAAACAGAGACAAAAUAGGUAUUUUGAUUUUUUUAAUUUUGAUACAAAUUUAACUACAGGUUUAACUGAAAAUGACUUAACGGAUACUAACAAUAAAUUUUUUUUGAAUAAUAAAAAAAAUAUACAAUGAGUAUAUUUAAAAUAAAAAUAUAAAUAUAAAUUAGAUAUUUUAAAAAUUAUGAAAAAUAUAUUGAUAAUUAGUUUUUAAAAUUUUAUAAAUAUUAAAAACUUGCUACUUCUAAAGGGGCGCGUAGCUCAGCUGUCCCCUUCACCUAUUGGUUUUGAAUUGGUCGGUACACGCAACUCCACAACCUACCUACCUACCUAUCUGGCUGUUGCCAACCUGGCUUUGGCUCCGUAGAUUGACGAAUCGGCUUUUUUCGCAAGUAGGGUUGUCAAUGGGUAUGCACAUCUAAAAUUUUAUCUGAAUUCGAACUCGAAUGAAACGAAUAUAUUUAAUGGAUAUGGAUAUGGAUUUGAAUAUGGAUAUAAAAAAUAGAAACCCGACGGAUACGGAUUUAGAUAUGGAUUGUGAUUGUACCCGACCCAAACCCGAACCCGACCCAAACCCGAACCGAACCCGAAUUUAUUUGUAUUAUAUACAAUAUAUAUAUAUAAAUUUGAUGUUAUAUUUGAAUUUGUAUUUUAAAAAUUUAGAUUUAAUAUAAUAUAUUUUGAAAUAUAAAAAAAAAAAAUAUUUCGGGUUCAAAUUUUCGGGUUCGGAUUCAGGUUCGUGUUUCGGAUUUUUUGUCGGAUUCGGUUUUGGAUAUGAAUUUUUAAAAUCCGUCGGGUUCGGAUUCGAGUCUUAGGUUUGGAGUCUGGUUCGGAUUCGGAUUUUUAAAAAUUCGUCCCGAAUCCGACCGUUGGCAUCUCUAUUCGCAAGUGCCCUGUUUGGCCCGUCUUCUCAAUCCUAGUUUUAAGAGUCCAUUGUUUGAGCCGUCUUCUGCAGUCCUAGUUUUAAGAGUCCAUUGUUUGUUUGGCUAUUAAAAAUAUUUCAAAAACCAAUGUAGACUUGUGAUCCCUAAAUUAUACUUUUGUGAAAAGAAAAUAUUAUAAUUAAUAAUAGGAAUUUUGAAUAAAAGAAGUAAAUAUAUAUGUCUGCUUACUAUUUCAACAACAAAAAAAAAAAAAAAGCUUUUUAUUGUCAAGUUAAUUUUAGUAUUUCACGCACCAAACAACAAACAUUUACCAAUACAAUUUUCUGUAAAUAUAAAAAUUUGUAGCUUUUAACACUCAAGUCUCAACUACACUUCUUCGUCAAACAGAACGGACCGGUCUUAAUUGUAUUUUUUUUUUCUUUUGAGAGAUAGGUAGUACGUUAUUCACUUCGUUUAUUUUAUUUAGAAAUAAAUUUAGCUAAAAAUGCGAAUCAUUUAAAUUCGAACUUGAAAUUUCAGGUCUUAAUUAUCAAAUUCUUUGCCAUUUGUUCUAGGGACGGUCGGUACCGGUCUUAAC
rnacentral:lncRNA from 1 species